UAAUUUCGACUUUCAAAGUCAUAAUUAUGAGAUUUAAAGUCAUAAUUUCGACUUUCAAAGUCAUAAUUUCGACUUUCAAAGUCAUAAUUAUGAGAUACCGGAGCAGUUGGAGACAAGCCUCCUUAGAAUAACAGCUCCGCUCCAGCUCCCAGUUAAAUCCUAAAUCCAAGGUCCAACCUUUGCUACUGCGUUAAGAGUCAGUAAAAGGAUACCUACAAAAGAGACAGAGGAGGUUCCUUUGACCUGAACCUAAACCUAAACAGAGGAUGGAUGAGAUAUAUGACUUCUUAAAAUCACGGGAUGUUUCAGAGGAAGUCAUACAACGACUGCAAAAGGAUAAGGUAGCUAGAUUGCUAAGGAAAUCAGUACAUUUAGAAGUUAUCAUACAACACUAUUAUAGAGACAUGGUGAAGACAGAUCAGUUUUAUCAUGUGGCUGUUUUUACUGGGUUUUCCCCCCCAUUUUUAUAGGUUAAAUAACUGUUUUAA